GGAGCCGACCUUGAAAUACCACCCUUUAAUGUUUGAUGUUCUAACGUGGACCCGUAAUCCGGGUUGCGGACAGUGUCUGGUGGGUAGUUUGACUGGGGCGGUCUCCUCCUAAAGAGUAACGGAGGAGCACGAAGGUUGGCUAAUCCUGGUCGGACAUCAGGAGGUUAGUGCAAUGGCAUAAGCCAGCUUGACUGCGAGCGUGACGGCGCGAGCAGGUGCGAAAGCAGGUCAUAGUGAUCCGGUGGUUCUGAAUGGAAGGGCCAUCGCUCAACGGAUAAAAGGUACUCCGGGGAUAACAGGCUGAUACCGCCCAAGAGUUCAUAUCGACGGCGGUGUUUGGCACCUCGAUGUCGGCUCAUCACAUCCUGGGGCUGAAGUAGGUCCCAAGGGUAUGGCUGUUCGCCAUUUAAAGUGGUACGCGAGCUGGGUUUAGAACGUCGUGAGACAGUUCGGUCCCUAUCUGCCGUGGGCGCUGGAGAACUGAGGGGGGCUGCUCCUAGUACGAGAGGACCGGAGUGGACGCAUCACUGGUGUUCGGGUUGUCAUGCCAAUGGCACUGCCCGGUAGCUAAAUGCGGAAGAGAUAAGUGCUGAAAGCAUCUAAGCACGAAACUUGCCCCGA
rnacentral:rRNA from 9 species